AGACAUGGAAAAUAUCUGAGAAGAAAGUUUUUAACACCCGAAAAAGGCUUGCACAUAUGAAUGCAUGUCAUAUGCACGUCUAAAUGUAUAUACAUGUAUGUAUGUAAACGUGCAUUUGUCUUAUAGGAGCAAUUACUGGACCAGCGGAGGAUGAAAAGGUGGACACCAAAUACUGACGUUUUAUUUAAGCAACAUUAAAAU
ensembl:ncRNA lncRNA:CR44463 long non-coding RNA:CR44463